rnacentral:rRNA from 1 species
UGGGGAAUAUUGGGCAAUGGAGGAAACUCUGACCCAGCGACGCCGCGUGAGGGAUGAAGGCCUUCGGGUUGUAAACCUCUUUCAGUAGGGAAGAAGCGAAAGUGACGGUACCUACAGAAGAAGCACCGGCUAACUAUGUGCCAGCAGCCGCGGUAAUACAUAGGGUGCAAGCGUUGUCCGGAAUUAUUGGGCGUAAAGAGCUCGUAGGUGGUUCGAUACGUCGGAUGUGAAAAUCAGGGGCUCAACCCCUGACCUGCAUCCGAUACGGUCGAGCUAGAGUUUGGUAGGGGAGACUGGAAUUCCUGGUGUAGCGGUGGAAUGCGCAGAUAUCAGGAGGAACACCGAUGGCGAAGGCAGGUCUCUGGGCCAAUACUGACACUGAGGAGCGAAAGCGUGGGGAGCGAACAGGAUUAGAUACCCUGGUAGUCCACGCCGUAAACGGUGGGCGCUAGUUGUGCGAACCUUCCACGGUUUGUGCGACGCAGCUAACGCAUUAAGCGCCCCGCCUGGGGAGUACGAUCGCAAGAUUA